UGGGGAAUUUUGGACAAUGGGCGAAAGCCUGAUCCAGCCAUGCCGCGUGCAGGAUGAAGGCCUUCGGGUUGUAAACUGCUUUUGUCAGGGAAGAAAUCCUUUGAGCUAAUACCUCGGGGGGAUGACGGUACCUGAAGAAUAAGCACCGGCUAACUACGUGCCAGCAGCCGCGGUAAUACGUAGGGUGCAAGCGUUAAUCGGAAUUACUGGGCGUAAAGCGCACGCAGGCGGUCUGUCAAGUCGGAUGUGAAAUCCCCGGGCUCAACCUGGGAACUGCAUUUGUGACUGCAUAGCUAGAGUACGGCAGAGGGGGAUGGAAUUCCGCGUGUAGCAGUGAAAUGCGUAGAUAUGCGGAGGAACACCGAUGGCGAAGGCAAUCCCCUGGACCUGUACUGACGCUCAUGCACGAAAGCGUGGGGAGCAAACA
rnacentral:rRNA from 1 species